GGCAACCUGCUUGGGUCCGCUUCCACACUGUGGAAGCUUUGCUCUUUCGCUCUUCACAAUAAAUCUUGCGGCUGCUCACUCUUUGGGUCUGCACUACCUUUAUGAGCUGUAACACUCACCAUGAGGGUCUGUGUCUUCAUUCCUUGAAGUCAGUGAGACCACGAACCCACUGGGAGGAACAAACAACUCCAGAUGCGCCACCUUUAAGAGCUGUAACACUCACCGCAAAGGUCUGUGGCUUCACUUCUGAAGUCAGCGAGACCACGAACCCACUGGAAGGAAGAAACUCCAGACACACCAUCUUUAAGAGCUGUAACACUCACCGCAAAGGUCUGUGGCUUCAUUCUCAAAGUCAGUGACACCAAGAACCCACCAGAAGGAAUAAAUUCUGGACACAUUUUGGUGACCACGAAGGGACUAUCACCUAUCGCCAAGUGGAUCGAGGCCAUCAAGCUACAGAUGGUCUUACAAAUGGAACCCCAAAUGAGCUCAACUAACAACUUCUACUAAGGACCCCUGGGCCAACCCACUGGCCCUUUGACUGGCCUAAAGAGUUCCCCUCUGAAGGACACUACAAUUGCAGGGACCCUUCUUUGCCCCUAUCCAGCAGGAAGUAGCUAGAGCGGUCAUUGUCCAAUUCCCAACUGCAGUUGGGGUGUCCUGUUUAGAGGGGGGAUUGAGAGGUGAAGCCAGCUGGACUUCCUGGGUCGAGUGGGGACUUGGAGAACAUUUCUGUCUAGCUAAAGGAUUGUAAAUGCACCAAUGAGCACUCUGUAAAAAUGCACCAAUCAGCGCUCUGUGUCUAGCUGAAAGAUUGUAAAUGCACCAAUCAGCACUCUGUAAAAACAUACCAAUCAGCGCUCUGUGUCUAGCUAAAGGAUUGUAAACGCACUGAUCAGCACUCUGUAAAAUGGACCAAUCAGCGUUCUGUAAAAUGGACCAAUCAGCAGGACAUGGGUGGGGCCAAACAAGGGAAUAAAAGCUGGUCACCCCAGCCAGCAGUGGCAAGCCACUCGGGUCCCCUUCCACACUGUGGAAGCUUUGUUCUUUUGCUCUUCACAAUAAAUCUUGCUGUUGCUCA